rnacentral:rRNA from 1 species
UACGUAGGAGGCGAGCGUUGUCCGGAUUUAUUGGGCGUAAAGAGCGUGUAGGCGGCCAGGUAGGUCCGCUGUGAAAACUCGAGGCUUAACCUCGAGAUGUCGGUGGAAACCAUCUGGCUAGAGUCCGGAAGAGGAGAGUGGAAUUCCUGGUGUAGCGGUGAAAUGCGCAGAUAUCAGGAAGAACGCCCGUGGCGAAGGCGGCUCUCUGGGACGGUACUGACGCUGAGACGCGAAAGCGUGGGGAGCGAACAGG